rnacentral:sRNA from 1 species
GUUCUCAUUCUCAUCAUUUUCUUCAUUUGUCUCUUUCAUUUUCUAUGUUUGAUUUCCUCACUUUGUUUCACUUUACUAUUUCUUCUUCAUUAUAUCUAUCCUGGCCAGCACACACAUUUCCCGAACUUGGAAAUUCCACUUCAGAUACUAUUGCCCUGGGAGAGAACACCCAGACUCAUAGCUUUGGGAAAUGAUAUAUCCUCUAAUUUGAAUACCAAACCAAGAAGCGAAAACAAAUAGGUUGGAGGUUGGAGCAAGGAUUGUUGAAGUGGAACAAAGGAUCAAAUCCAUGUGAUAUUCGGCUUGAUGGCUGAAACAUGGCAUUCUGCAUGCAUGCACUAAGAACAGCUGCCAAGCUUGGCAGCUGUUCUCUACCCAUCCACACCAUCUGUUAUUUCUAGAGAUUCAAAGCUGUUUGCGAGAGCACUGAUGUGGUGAGAAAGAUGUCAUCUUCAGAGUGCACCUCUAUUCAUUUUAUCUUCGCCUCUGAGGAGCACUCUGCUUGUGUCCAGACUAGUGUACCAUCCUCUCCCCCUUUUGAUGCUCACCAGCCCGCUUGAAGAACAAACAUACUUCGACCUCAGCGAUGUUGAAUGCAAAUCAUGGCAUGCAAAAGCAUUCUGUCUUUCUACUGCUGAGACAGCUGUCAGCCCUCUGGAGCAAUCAAGGCAAUUUGGAUUGAAUGCAGAUUAAUGAGAGAAGAGCUGUGAAAUAAAUUUGUAUUUACUAGCUUUCAUUUACCCAUCAAGAUGUCAUACAGGCCAUCACUUUCCACUUGUCAACUGCAG